rnacentral:rRNA from 1 species
CCUACGGGAGGCAGCAGUGAGGAAUAUUGGUCAAUGGCCGGAAGGCUGAACCAGCCAAGCCGCGUGAAGGACGACGGUGCCAAGCAUUGUAAACUUCUUUUGUCAAGGGACAAAAUCAGGCACGAGAGCCUGAUCGAAGGUACCUGAUGAAAAAGCAUCGGCUAAUUCCGUGCCAGCAGCCGCGGUAAUACGGAGGAUGCGAGCGUUAUCCGGAUUUAUUGGGUUUAAAGGGUUCGUAGGCGGACUGUUAAGUCUGCGGUAAAAGCCCGGGGCUCAACCCCGGCGAGCCGUUGAAACUGGCUGUCUUGAGAUGUCGGGAGGUAUGCGGAAUUCGCAGUGUAGCGGUGAAAUGCUUAGAUAUUGCGCAGAACUCCGAUUGCGAAGGCAGCAUACCGGCGGCGAUCUGACGCUGAGGCACGAAAGCGUGGGUAUCGAACAGGAUUAGAUACCCCAGUAGUC